rnacentral:misc_RNA from 1 species
AAGGAGUCAACCUUAUGUGCGAGUGUUCGGGUGUCAAACCCCUACGCGUAAUGAAAGUGAACGCAGGUGAGAGCUUCGGCGCAUCAUCGACCGAUCCUGAUGUUCUCGGAUGGAUUUGAGUAAGAGCAUAUAGGGUUGGACCCGAAAGAAGGUGAACUAUGCGUGUAUAGGGUGAAGCCAGAGGAAACUCUGGUGGAGGCUCGCAGCGGUUCUGACGUGCAAAUCGAUCGUCAAAUAUGCGCAUGGGGGCGAAAGACUAAUCGAACCUUCUAGUAGCUGGUUUCCGC